CUGGCUGUCAUUAUCCUUUACUGGUUCCUUCCGUUUACUUCAUGCUCCCUGUUGCUCCAUUGAACUGCCUUUCUAUGACCGGUCCACUUCCUAAGCUUCGUGUCAGUGUGUUCUCAUGUCCCUAGAAAGCCUCUGCCGUCCUGUUUGAAUUGACUGUGGGGAAACCUUAACUGGGUUAGCAGCUGGGUCACACCAGAGCUCAUCAGGAGUUCAGUCCAAUCAGGACGAAAUACAACCCUCCUCAUCUGAUACCAGCACUUCACAGAGAUGGAUCACAAGACCGGGAGUCAAGUGAGUGCUUACAACUGUAAAACCGGCCUACUGCAGAGAAAACAUCAUCUAAGCAGUCUGGGUUUGAUGAAUAACACUGACGCACCAACAUUGAGAGUCAUCCAUCAGCUCUGCGCCAGCUCACGGAUAGAAAGGAGGACGUCAAAUACUAACACCCACAACUUCGCUCUGUGUGCAACACAACUUUGACACUCACAGGGCUGUGAAUUAUUUAAACUCCUCAGCAGCCAUACAUUUAAAAUCACUGAUGUACGCCCUCAGCGGAGGAUGGAUAGUUUCACGUAAUCAGAGAUGUAGUUAUACUUUCAUCCACUUGAGAAUCCAUCAUGUAUAAUGGUUUUAAAUAGUAAAGUGAGACAUGACUGCAUCAACUUGCCAGUAGAAUUUGAAAGUUACAAUAGUAAUUCUGCUUUUCAACAGCUUGUAUGGUGAAUAUUUUAAUUUUGGACUGUAAGGACAGUUUAAACUUAUGAUCAUUGAAAGAUGUAACACCUAACUCCCCAGCAACUUCUCACCAGCAGCAGUAAAGAAAAUGCUAUGCUUUUUUCCGUAAUCUUCAAUGUCAUCAAAUAUAUUCUUACCAAUAGAACUAUUAUCGAGGCCAGGAAGAAAAAAACAGAUGAAAGCUACCAUUAGUAUUGCAGCACAGCUAGCUGCUAUGGGAAGUGAGGAAAGUACCAGUUUCUAAUUGCAAUGGGCCAUUAGGCUUGGCUUUUUGUGUAUAAGAUUACUAUUGGAGCGCAACAACAUGCUACAGGAAGUUAUAUAUCUAGCAGUAUAAAAUUUCUAUGAGCCAAUGGAUUGGUGUUUUCUUACAACUUAUAAGCUAGGGUUUGCUUUACAGCACCGCUAAUUGUGAUCGGUGGUUAAAAGCUAGCAUUAGUAUGCAGCACAUCAAGGUACAAGAGGAAGUUUGAAAAAUUUAGUGGCAUUUUGAGGAUUGCACUUUUUACACAGUGAUGCCACCUCACACAUCUGGCAUGAGUCUCACAUUGUUUUGUCUCUCUCUCUUGCUCUCCCUACUCAGACAAAUCUUACUCUAAAUAGGAAAAGUAGUUGUAAGACAUUGCUUUCCACUGACUGGCCGUCCUAAAUACAGUGGCAAUUUUAACUCUUUCUUUUGAUGGGCAGGUCUGUCAAUGAAUGAUAUGUGCAUAAUAUGUGUGUAAUUUGUGCACAUAUGGCCUGUUAGUUUUCCUUCAACAUCUUGGCUAAAGGGUCUGGUGUCAAGGCCUGCCAACAUGGUCUUCAGGGAAUCUAAUGGAGACCUGGCCAUACUGGCCUCAAACCAGAGGAACCAUGCCCACUUCUGAAAUGAAAAAGGUUCUGCACAAAAAACAAACAUAAAAUAAAUUAGUUGUGCACAGGCUUCUUUUAAAUAGAUUGUUUUGUUUGUAUUCUCUGUGGUAGGGCUUCUUGGAAGAAAAGCACAGACACCUCUAAUGUGAACAUAUAGAAAGGUUCCUGGAGAAGUGUCCUGGUAUUAUAUUUAGCAAUAUGAGUAGGGAGGAGAACGAUGCGGUGAAGGAGGAAAAGCAAGAACAGGGGAGUAUAGGUUUUACAGUAUAAUUUUACGUGGCUCAUAAUAAACAUUUUUGAGACUGGUCGGUCGGUGAAGUGGUUGUGUGUUUGAUUGUAUUUGGGGCAGCCCAAGACACAAUUCCUGCCAGAAUAAGUGUUCAUAUAGGUGUUAUCAUACUAUUAUACAAUCUGAAGAUUAACCCUACUGAAUUCACCUUGAGCUCUGUUCCCCCACUCAGUCUCAGUUAAGCAGCAGAAAGUUUAAGAAUAAAAAUGAACAAUGACUUUAAAUAAAGUAAUAUUUUUGAGCUAAUUUAUUUGGCGCACUAUGGUCAGUGUUGUGUAUGAUGUAUUUCAUGUCAGUGUUCUUAUGAUCUCCAGGUGGCAACAUUGGGCACCAAAAGCCUCAAGAAAUUAACUAUUUCACUUGAGCAGAAAACAUCAGUCUUACUCAGCUCCUUAGCAUUAAAACCUCCUCAAGGAACAUACAUUUCAACUGUGACCUCAACAUACCAUGGGAUACCAUGAAGAGAAGGAGCAAUGUGUAAACUGGAUGUGUAAACAAUUUCUGAGAAUGAUCAAGUAAAGGCAAUGAUACAAGUCA